GAUGAACGCUAGCUACAGGCUUAACACAUGCAAGUCGAGGGGUAACAAGAGGAAAGCUUGCUUUUCUUGUUGACGACCGGCGCACGGGUGAGUAACGCGUAUCCAACCUGCCUAUAACUAGGGAAUAACCUUGCGAAAGUAAGACUAAUACCCUAUGAUUUCCUUUGAUAACAUCAGAUUAGGAAUAAAGAUUUAUCGGUUAUAGAUGGGGAUGCGUCUGAUUAGCUUGUUGGCGGGGUAACGGCCCACCAAGGCAACGAUCAGUAGGGGUUCUGAGAGGAAGGUCCCCCACAUUGGAACUGAGACACGGUCCAAACGCCUACGGGAGGCAGCAGUGAGGAAUAUUGGUCAAUGGGCGGAAGCCUGAACCAGCCAAGUAGCAUGCAGGAUGACGGCCCUAUGGGUUGUAAACUGCUCUUAUACAGGAAUAAAGUUAGCCACGUGUGGUUAUUUGUAGGUACUGUAUGAAUAAGGACCGGCUAAUUCCGUGCCAGCCGCCGCCGUAA
rnacentral:rRNA from 1 species